rnacentral:rRNA from 1 species
GGUUGCGAUCAUACCAGCACUAAUGCACUGGAUCCCAUGAGAAACUCCGCAGUUAAGCGUGCUUGGGCGAGAGUAAUAUUAGGAUGGGUGACCCCAUGGGAAGUCCGCGUGUUGCAACCC